UUUAUGCUUAUAGUUUUUUUUUGUUUUUCAGACUGAUGGUUUAAAGAGUUUAUAAAUGGGUCUCUGACGGGUGCACACCAGCCGAAGCCGGUGGGGCAAGAAGCCACGACCCGCCAAAGCAACAGGUAUUAAAACAUGGGGUUGGAGGUUGGGCCAAAGACCCGUACUCGAUAAUGAUCCUUCCGCAGGUUCACCUACGGAAA
rnacentral:misc_RNA from 1 species